UUUCUUAACCAAUACCCGCAUUUAACCCAAAAGAAACCUCAAGGAUACCCGUACUAGCACCAAAUCCAAGGGAACAAUGGUAGGACCAAUGACUGGGAAUCUCAGGAUCUCAUACAAGACCCUUAUCUCUAGCCACAACCACAAUUUCCACCCUACAUCCUGAAUGCCUAUCCAGCCAUGAGCUCUGAGAAUAUAGCUGAGUUGAGGCAAUAUGGAGAGAAGCUAUUAUCAGUAGGACACCGAGCCCGUAAUAUAGAAGAAAAGCUCGCCUGCAACUACGACGAGAGGGAACAACACAUAAUAUAAUAUAUAUACUUUCCUUAUAUUUUGAUAAAAUAUAUAAUGAAAGUAAAUGAUAAUAUAUAACAUGCAUAUAUAUUAAUGCAUAAUACUGAUAGAUAUGAUUAUAGUUGUACUAGUGCAAUAUGAGCAACAAAUGUAUGUCAAAGGAAAUAGCAUGUAA
rnacentral:lncRNA from 1 species